AGGGAGCAGCCCCCUUUUGCUCCCACAUAAGGGUUUUGGGGAUGGUGUGGGGCUCAUGGCUGUGGGGCAAAUACUUGGUUUCCCCCAAAAGUAGGAUGGGGAAGAGGGGUUUAGAGCUGUGUUGGCCACUCCACUGAUGUCUGUGCCCCCCUGUGUGCUCCCAGCAGCGCUCCUGGUCCAGGGCCAGUACAGCAGGUUUGAAGGCAUCACCUACCCUGAGCCGGUGCAAUAUUCCCAGUACGACCAGCAGGCAGAUUCAGGAUUACUACGACUACCACGAUGUGACCCCCCGCACCCCUGAGGAGCAGUUUCGGUACCAGUCCCAGCAGCAGUCCCAGCAGGAGAUCGUGCCAGCUCCAACCCCAGGUGGGUGUGAUACGACGGCCACAUCCCCACCACGGUGCUGCUCCCGAGCCGAGCAGCACCCCAGG
rnacentral:lncRNA from 1 species